UGGAGAGUUUGAUCCUGGCUCAGGACGAACGCUGGCGGCGUGCUUAACACAUGCAAGUCGAACGGAAAGGCCCUUCGGGGUACUCGAGUGGCGAACGGGUGAGUAACACGUGGGUGAUCUGCCCUGCACUUUGGGAUAAGCCUGGGAAACUGGGUCUAAUACCGAAUAUGAUCAUGGCCUGCAUGGGUUGUGGUGGAAAGCUUUUGCGGUGUGGGAUGGGCCCGCGGCCUAUCAGCUUGUUGGUGGGGUAAUGGCCUACCAAGGCGACGACGGGUAGCCGGCCUGAGAGGGUGACCGGCCACACUGGGACUGAGAUACGGCCCAGACUCCUACGGGAGGCAGCAGUGGGGAAUAUUGCACAAUGGGCGCAAGCCUGAUGCAGCGACGCCGCGUGAGGGAUGACGGCCUUCGGGUUGUAAACCUCUUUCAGUAGGGACGAAGCGCAAGUGACGGUACCUAUAGAAGAAGGACCGGCCAACUACGUGCCAGCAGCCGCGGUA
rnacentral:rRNA from 1 species